CAUGUAGGCGGUUGCUUGAGUCGGACGUGAAAGCUCCUGGCUCAACUGGGAGAGGCCGUUCGAAACUAGGUAACUCGAGGGUGGCAGAGGAUAGUGGAAUUCCCGGUGUAGUGGUGAAAUGCGUAGAUAUCGGGAGGAACACCAGUGGCGAAGGCGGCUAUCUGGGCCAUUCCUGACGCUGAGAUGCGAAAGCUAGGGGAGAGAACG
rnacentral:rRNA from 1 species